UACGUAGGGUGCGAGCGUUGUCCGGAAUUAUUGGGCGUAAAGAGCUCGUAGGUGGUUUGUCGCGUCUGCUGUGAAAACUCGGGGCUUAACUCCGGGCCUGCAGUGGGUACGGGCAGACUAGAGUGCGGUAGGGGAGACUGGAAUUCCUGGUGUAGCGGUGAAAUGCGCAGAUAUCAGGAGGAACACCGGUGGCGAAGGCGGGUCUCUGGGCCGUAACUGACGCUGAGGAGCGAAAGCGUGGGGAGCGAACAGG
rnacentral:rRNA from 1 species